rnacentral:misc_RNA from 1 species
UUUCCGUAGGUGAACCUGCGGAAGGAUCGUUAGUGAAUUGAAUAUGUUAGCGGACCUCUUCGGAGUCCCUAGCAUCAAAUCAUAUCCAAAACCCGUGAACUGUAAGGCUGUCUUGAAAACGAAAGUGAUUAGAGCGCCUGCCCAUUUUAUACAAACAUUAAAGUAACAAACGUAGUCUUAUUAUAAUCUAAUAAAACUUUCAACAACGGAUCUCUUGGCUCUC